CAGAGCACAGACUGGAAAUAUGACUGGCUAGGGAAAAGGGGGAGAGGCUGGGGAGCAGUAAGAAAGGUCCACCAGGGAGAGGGAACGGCCAAAGCUAACAACCUGUGGCAGGCAGGAAGGUGGCACUUUGGAGCACUAGCAAGAAAGUGGCUGUGAUUGGAGCCCCACCUGCUGAGUGCCAGACACUGUGCUAGGUACUGGGAGGCAGGAAGCAAUCACGUGGAAAGGACUAGAAGCAUGAACAGAACCAUUCACUGAGUUUCUAGGUGGGUGCUGCUGCCAUGGAAUAAAGAGCUCACCUGAAAGUCUCUCAAAGAGCAAGCAGAUCCUCAGACGUGGAGAUGUCACCCCACUAGGGAAUGUCCCUUGACAGAGUCACGUGUGCUUCUGCUAGUUCAUCAGAGUGGCAAAUCCCAGGUCAGACCUCUGCGGGGCCAACAAUGUUUAGCAUUGUGGGAAAUCCAUCCUGGUAGAAGAGGCUGCAAGAACUAAGCUGUUUAUUUUUUGAUGUUUCUGGAACACGCUUGGAGGCAAAAAAUGAGAUUUUUGAAAAUGGACACAUUUGAUGAGCAUUACAUAAUCCAGGGCAGUCCCUAAGCGGUAUUGUCGUCAAACGGCUCCCCUUAUCAUGCAUGUAUGAUUCAUGUCUGGGCUACACAUGGAAUCGAAGCUGCCUGGAAUUUCUGUGGAAGGCCUCAGCUAUACAAUGGGAAUAACUGGAUCUGCUGCUUAGUGUGAUCUUGAAGAUUAAAUGCAGUAAUAGAAGUGAGGCUUUUGGCUCCUUUCAAGGCUCCGCAGCGGAAUUAUCGGUCAGGGGCUUGUCAACUCCAAUCCUAAACUCUUAAGAGAGGAGUCAGCUGCUCCGAGAACCUGGCGUUUGUAAAGGCGAGCU